GCUGAGAUAGCUCAACUGGUAAAUCAUGAGACCGUUAAUCCCAGGGACAUGGGUUUGAGCCCCAUGUUGGGUG